rnacentral:rRNA from 1 species
UACGUAAGGUGCGAGCGUUGUCCGGAAUUAUUGGGCGUAAAGGGCUCGUAGGCGGUUUGUCGCGUCGGGAGUGAAAUCCACUGGCUUAACUGGUGGCUUGCUUUCGAUACGGGCAGACUGGAGGUAUGCAGGGGAGAACGGAAUUCCUGGUGUAGCGGUGAAAUGCGUAGAUAUCGAGAGGAACACCAGAGGUGAAGACGGGUUGCUGGGCCGACACUGACGCUGACAGCGCGAAAGCCAGGGGAGCAAACGGG